rnacentral:rRNA from 1 species
UGGGGAAUUUUGGACAAUGGGGGCAACCCUGAUCCAGCCAUCCCGCGUGUGCGAUGAAGGCCUUCGGGUUGUAAAGCACUUUUUGGCAGGGAAGAAACAGCCUGGGACAAUACCCCGGGCGACUGACGGUACCUGCAGAAUAAGCACCGGCUAACUACGUGCCAGCAGCCGCGGUAAUACGUAGGGUGCAAGCGUUAAUCGGAAUUACUGGGCGUAAAGCGUGCGCAGGCGGUUCGGAAAGAAAGGUGUGAAAUCCCAGGGCUUAACCUUGGAACUGCACUUUUAACUACCGAGCUAGAGUACGUCAGAGGGGGGUAGAAUUCCACGUGUAGCAGUGAAAUGCGUAGAGAUGUGGAGGAAUACCGAUGGCGAAGGCAGCCCCCUGGGAUGAUACUGACGCUCAUGCACGAAAGCGUGGGGAGCAAACAGGAUUAGAUACCCUGGUAGUCCACGCCCUAAACGAUGUCAACUAGCUGUUGGGGUUUAUUAACCUUAGUAGCGCAGCUAACGCGUGAAGUUGACCGCCUGGGGAGUACGGUCGCAAGAUU